rnacentral:lncRNA from 1 species
CUGUAUUUUAUAGGUUUUACAGUAAUUGUGUAUAUUUUUAUAUUUAGUUUAUUGUGUUGUAUUCUGUAUAUUAUAUGAUUUAUAUUGAUUAAUUGAAGCUAUAGUAUACUAAUUACAGAUUGUAAUUAGUUGAUUAGUCUAUAUAUAUAUGCUUUGUUCAUUACAUUUACGUAUUUGACAGUUGGACUUAUUGACAUACGACAUUUUCUACUGGUUUGGGUAACUUUGGUUU